GACGAACGCUGGCGGCGUGCUUAACACAUGCAAGUCGAGCGGAAAGGCCACUUCGGUGGUACUCGAGCGGCGAACGGGUGAGUAACACGUGAGUAAUCUGCCCUUCACUCUGGGAUAGCCACCGGAAACGGUGAUUAAUACCGGAUACGACCACUCCACGCAUGUGGUGGUGGUGGAAACUUUUUUGGGUGGGGGAUGUGCUCGCGGCCUAUCAGCUUGUUGGUGGGGUAAUGGCCUACCAAGGCUUCGACGGGUAGCCGGCCUGAGAGGGUGACCGGCCACACUGGGACUGAGACACGGCCCAGACUCCUACGGGAGGCAGCAGUGGGGAAUAUUGGACAAUGGGCGGAAGCCUGAUCCAGCAACGCCGCGUGAGGGAUGACGGCCUUCGGGUUGUAAACCUCUUUCAGCACCGACGAAGCGCAAGUGACGGUAGGUGCAGAAGAAGGACCGGCCAACUACGUGCCAGCCGCCGCCGUAAGAC
rnacentral:rRNA from 1 species